rnacentral:tRNA from 1 species
GUUUCUGUAGUGUAGUGGUUAUCACAUUCGCUUUUACACGCGAAAGGUCCCUGGUUUGUAACCGGGCAGAAACA